rnacentral:rRNA from 1 species
GACGUAGGGCGCAAGCGUUGUCCGGAUUUAUUGGGCGUAAAGAGCUCGUAGGCGGCCUGUCGCGUCGACCGUGAAAACCCGCAGCUCAACUGCGGGCUUGCGGUCGAUACGGGCAGGCUGGAGUUCGGUAGGGGAGACUGGAAUUCCUGGUGUAGCGGUGAUAUGCGUAGAUAUCGGGAGGAACACCUGUGGCGAAGGCGGCUUUCUGGGCCCUUCCUGACGCUGAGACGCGAAAGCGUGGGGAGCGAACCGG